AGACCCGAAACCCGGUGAUCUAGCCAUGGGCAGGUUGAAGGUUGGGUAACACUAACUGGAGGACCGAACCGACUAAUGUUGAAAAAUUAGCGGAUGACCUGUGGCUGGGGGUGAAAGGCCAAUCAAACCGGGAGAUAGCUGGUUCUCCCCGAAAGCUAUUUAGGUAGCGCCUCGUGAAUUCAUCUCCGGGGGUAGAGCACUGUUUCGGCUAGGGGGCCAUCCCGGCUUACCAACCCGAUGCAAACUGCGAAUACCGGAGAAUGUUAUCACGGGAGACACACGGCGGGUGCUAACGUCCGUCGUGAAGAGGGAAACAACCCAGACCGCCAGCUAAGGUCCCAAAGUCAUGGUUAAGUGGGAAACGAUGUGGGAAGGCCCAGACAGCCAGGAUGUUGGCUUAGAAGCAGCCAUCAUUUAAAGAAAGCGUAAUAGCUCACUGGUCGAGUCGGCCUGCGCGGAAGAUGUAACGGGGCUAAACCAUGCACCGAAGCUGCGGCAGCGACACUGUGUGUUGUUGGGUAGGGGAGCGUUCUGUAAGCCUGUGAAGGUGUGUCGUGAGGCAUGCUGGAGGUAUCAGAAGUGCGAAUGCUGACAUAAGUAACGAUAAAGCGGGUGAAAAGCCCGCUCGCCGGAAGACCAAGGGUUCCUGUCCAACGUUAAUCGGGGCAGGGUGAGUCGACCCCUAAGGCGAGGCCGAAAGGCGUAGUCGAUGGGAAACGGGUUAAUAUUCCCGUACUUGGUGUUACUGCGAAGGGGGGACGGAGAAGGCUAUGUUGGCCGGGCGACGGUUGUCCCGGUUUAAGCGUGUAGGUGUGUGUUCCAGGUAAAUCCGGUUCACUUUAACACUGAGGCGUGACGACGAGGCACUACGGUGCUGAAGCAACAAAUGCCCUGCUUCCAGGAAAAGCCUCUAAGCAUCAGGUAACAUCAAAUCGUACCCCAAACCGACACAGGUGGUC
rnacentral:rRNA from 1 species